rnacentral:lncRNA from 1 species
AUUAGCUCCUGAGCAAACUUGAAGAGGCUGGACCCUGGGGUAUGUCUACGAAAGAGAAACCAUGCAGUGUCCUUCUACCAUGUCAGGCCUGGAACUGUGAAUGGACCGAAGACCAGUGGGGCCUUCAGCUACUGGCCUGGACUCUUGGAAGCAAACUUGUUUUUCUGUGAUUUACCAGAAACUCUCAGGACGAGAAUAUCUCAGUCUUCCAAGGUUUGGCUUCAUUGAUCCACUAAGAAGCACGGUCCCAUGCCCAAGGUGCUCAAUUUUCAGCUGUGAAUGACCCUCGCUCACUAGUUACCUGAACACCAUACCCCCCUUCCUUCGUGGCUAGAACUCAGGCCUUGAUGGUGUCAACUUUGGGAGAUUUCAGUAGCACAAGGAAGCUCAUUAAAACAGGAAGUACGCAAUUCAAAACAGUUUCAGGAAGUUCCUGAAACUGACCAGAUUCACGAAGAUCCUCCCUCUCCAAGAAUACAUAAAUAGUAAAGACUAUGGAGACUCACUGUCAAACAAGCUGAGUAUCAGCUCUAAGAGGUUUCUGGUGAUGUCUACAGCCUCCUACACAUAUGCUCAUAUCAUCUGCAAAUAUUGGUUCUGGGAAGAAUGUCAGGGACAUGAAACAGUUCAUUACUUCUGAUCCCUCAAGAGGAUCAGGAACAACAUGACUUAGG